GGGGCGGGAUACGCUACGGGUGGUAACCCGGUUGCUGGCGAUUGGGACAGACUUGCGCCCCUCAAUUGAGCGCAGCGUUACUCAGGGUCCGAGUUGGCCACAGGGCUACCGCGCCUUGGGCAUCUGCCCGCAAGUUGAGCCCCGUUAGACUGUCUGGGAGCGAAGACGGGUCAGGCCGACUGGAUGAGGGGCAGCGCAUCCAGUGGUUCGCAUGUGGGCGGGUCUUCCUCUGCGUGUUUGGGAAGUUCCCACGAACGACUGGGUCCCUGGACUUUUGAAUGAACCUGGGGAGAUUGUAAAGUCACUCCCUGAGCUGGGGACGCCUCCGGGACUUGAUGUUGACUUUCCUGAGGAAAGGCCAGAUGGUCUGGGGAGACCAACCUGUAUCUAAAGCGAUUGUUCCUUAUGUUGUACCUAGUGGGGCCUAGUAGGAAAAGGAGCCUGGAGCCCAGGUUCCUGUGCUGUCUGGGUGGUGAUGUUUGAGGAUUCACAGGCCAGAAGUCAGACCCCAAGGUGGACCUAGCCUCAAGAUUACAGUGCUGGGAAGUCAGGGCAGGAGCUGAAGUAGAGACUGAAGGAACACUUACUGCUGCUUUUCUUACAGCUGGCCAGAAAAGGCAGCUCACACAUUGGGCUAAGCCUCUCUCCCUGAAUCAAUGAGCAAUCAAGAAAUGCCCCACAGACAUGCCCACAGGCUAAUCCAUACAAGCAAUUCCUCAACUGAGGUUCCCUCUUUUGAAGUAUGUCAAGUUGACAACUGAAGCUAACUAUGACACUUCACUGUCUACUCAUACCCCCAGCUUGCCUCCUUGAACACUAGAACUUGUUAAGCCAUCGCCUGGUUCUAAGUGAGAGAUGGAGGAGGAAGUGGAGGCUCCAAAUCUGGCCUUACUGUUCAGUGUGUCCAAGGGUUGGUGGUCUAUGCCAUGCCUGACAGAUGAUUCAGCAUGGCUAGGACAUACCUAAGUAAGUCUAUGACCUGUGUCCAGAGUGGUAUGUUUGUGAGUGAGCAGAGUGUCUGGUUUCCAGAGGCACCUGUGAGAAGGCUCAGGAUCCCCUGUAAUCAGCAUUCAGGCUUAAACAGGCAGAUGAAACAGAUCUGAGCAGUGCUUGGCUAGGCGCCGUGUUCUGGAUCUGACAUUCCUAGACCAUUUCCUUUAGUCUCCUGUGAUCAGUGGGAAGGAUUUUCGGUCCUAACACAUUGCCUGGGGUCAGGCCCUCAUGUGGAGUUUCCUGCCAAAAUGGCCUGUUGCUGAGCAAUGUCCCAGAUCCGAUGUGCUUAGGUAGGUAUACUGGUACAUUUGCCCCCAGGGCUUUCUGGCUACAGUGACCAGGCCCUGCCCCUCCACCCAGUAGCAUCCUUCAGGGCUGACAUCUGAACCUGGACACCUAACAAGAUCAGGGCUACUGUGGGGAGUAUUGGACAGGUUUUGUCACUUGAGACAGAGCACUGGAGGCUCCAGGGUGUCCUUGGGCAAGACCCAUGACCUCAUCAUGAGGGAGGAUCAGUGCCCCAUCCUGCCCUGUGGCGCUUUCAGUCUCUUUCAUGGUCACAUCAAAGGUCCUGACUGUGAGGCUUACAUACCUAAGUCCUGGACAU
ensembl:lncRNA